AGGUGUGAUUGUACUAGCAUUAAUGUACUAAAUCCCAUCAGAACUCCACAGUGAAACGUGCUUGGACGAGAGAAGUACUGAGAUGGGUGACCUCCACCACAAAAAAAACAUAUUUCACCAC
rfam:Brassica rapa chromosome A8, whole genome shotgun sequence.